CAUAGAGUUUGGGACACACCUGCAAGCGCUAGAGGCUAAGGAGAUUGGCUGUGGCAUGAAAAUUACACCUGUGGGGGUGGAGGGGGCCUGUUACAUGUAAAGCAAGCUCUUUACAAAUUCUGUCUCUCUUCUCAAAGAGGUUAAACAGGUAGCAUCACCUCGAGCUCCCGGCAAAGAGCGUCUUCGUUGAGACAAAGACUCACCUGCCUUGCUGCUCUGUUAGUUUCUACGCCCAGCGUCGUGUUGGGAAUCUGGUUUCCCGCCUCAAGAUGGUCUUCUUCCUGGCUUUCGUGUUGCAAAAAUCUUAAAGGGCGUCGUUCAGUUGAAGAGAGAAGAGAAGGACAUGCUUGUGAAGCGGCGUAACUGACGAAGUGUGGUGUCUCUCGUAUCUAGUGGAUCAUGGCGAGGACGCAACGGAUCUUGGCUGGUUGGGGGGAGUGACUGUGAUGUCAUCUGAGAGCUGGGUUGAGCCCCGUCAGCACAGAGAAGAGCCAGGUGCCGGACAGAGACAGGACACACAGAAUGUCUGUGGAGUCACACAGCAGACAAUGAGCGGUCAGGACCAAUCAGAUGAGGAGGAGAAGGGCAGUGCGCUGAAUGCUGGGGUUGAGGUUGUGGUGCUACAACAUGUGAAUGGAGCUGAAAUGCAGAAGGAGAAGAACAAGGACACAAGGGGGAGAAGACGGGCCGCUCAGAAUAUACACAGAGUAAAACAUCCAGAUGCAGCCCUGCCAGUGAGCGUCUCAUUUGUUGAGAGGGACAGAGACAAGCGGCCUGAAGAUCCACGAGGCCCUGGACCCUUCUUUUACUUUGGGGGAAACAAUGGGGCCUCCAUAGUUGUUUCAUAUUGUGAGGGUCGAGGCUGGCAGCGAAUAUAUGACAAGACCAGGACGGACUACAAGCUCAAGUGGUGUGAAACUAAAUCACCUGCUACCUACAACAGCUUCAAAGCAGGUGGCCAGUUGCUUUACCAGAUACCCAAUAAUAAUGUCCUGACCACUAAGAUUGGCCUUCUGAACAGCCUACGGGAGUAUGACAGAGUCAGCAGCAAGGUUAACUAUGGAUGUGGAAACAGGAGAAUGAAGCUGGAGGACUUUUUUCCUGUCACUUUCCGUAUGGAUAUGAAGGAUGAGAGAGAGGCUUACUUUAAAGGAAUAUGCAAUGAUAAAUCCGGUAUGUGGAUCUGCAAGCCGACAGGCCUUAAUCAGGGCCGUGGUAUUUUUCUACUGCGGAUGCCAGAAGACAUCACAGCAUUCAGAGAACGACUGCAGAACACAAUAGAGAAGCAGUCCAACAGGAGGUCACCUUUCAAUAUGCCACAAGCUCUGAUUGUUCAACAGUACAUCCAGAACCCUUUGCUACUAAAAGGGCGAAAAUUUGAUGUGCGGUCAUACUUUCUAAUUGCUUGCACCUCGCCAUACAUGGUGUUUUUUCGCCAUGGUUAUGUCCGAUUGACAUGUAACCUUUAUGACCCCAACUCUGACAAUAUCACAGCCCACUUGACCAAUCAAUACAUGCAGAAGAAAAAUCCUCUCUACAGCCUGCUAAAAGAGGAAACCGUUUGGUCUAUGGAGCGCUUCAAUACAUACAUUAAUGAGACAUACAUGCUGUCAAAGGGUCUGCCCAAAGAUUGGGCUCUGGGUCCUUUUGCAAAAAGGAUGCAACAUAUCAUCAUGCAGUGCUUUCAAGCUGUCAAAGCCAAGCUGGACUGCAAACUUGGUUACUUUGACCUAAUUGGCUGUGACUUCUUGAUUGAUGAGGAUUUCAAGGUCUGGUUGCUAGAGAUGAACUGUAACCCUGCCCUGCAUACUAACUGUGAAGUGCUGAAAGAUGUAAUACCACGGACAGUCACUGAGACACUUGACCUUUCUUUGGAAAUCUUCAAUAAGUCUUGCUGUGGACUGAAACUCCUGCCACUAAACAGUCAAAGAGAGUUUUUGUUGUUGUAUGGUGGUGAGACUGCGGCUAUAACUAAAAAGAGACGCAAAACCACCGGGCCCUUCUCGACCCUCCACCCAAAGAGCAGCUCCACCCACAAUAACACAGACAAAACUGUUGCCAUCGAAACACAAACAGGGAAAUCAACUAAUAGGGGCAGCAAGUGUUCUGAAACUCAAGCCAAAUUUCCUUUCCCUUCCACCGCGAUCCACUCUUCCUCUGUUUUGUCCAAUACCAGCCCACCUUCACAGCAACCUGUGGAGUUACCAAUGAAACAUUCAGCAGUAGCAACUUUAUCCCAGAAGCCUCUGACAUCCAAAGCUCAAGAAACAAAUCAGCCUCGACCAUACCAGCCCAGACCUGUCCGUGCACGUGUGGAGUUGCAGCUCAGCAAGUGCACCUGGCAGCAACCUGCAGUGGUAUCCAACCUCAAAGUGCCUCCACAACCGGUGAGAAGUGCUAUCAGGUCAUUGUCUACACCAGCCCUGAGCAAAGACUUAAACCCCACACAAAGACUUGGAGCUCAAGGCCGCCAAACAGACAAAAUGAUGCACGUGAGCGGCAACCUCAAGAUGUCCUAGAUUCAUUUGGCUGAGCCGUACUUCCUCCACACUGUGGGGACAGAAAAGAAAGAGACCAAAGAAUAGGAAGAUGAUGGGUGACUGCACUUUCAAAUCAAAACAGUUAUAAGGGCUUCUUCUCUGAAUAAUUAGCAUUUUCUUCUGCUUGAGUCUAAUGUUGUUCCUCAUCACCAGAAGCAUCAUGCUCAUUUAAACUGAUGCUCCUGCUGAUUUUGUUUUUUAAUUUUAUUUUUUACAUGUCACCCAUUUAUUUAUCAUACAUCAUCUAUCCUCCCUCAUGCCGCUCAAAACUCUGUGGAAACCAAAGUGGGUUAAACUUAUUAAAAUGUCAAAGCUGCUCUUUUCCAUACAAUGAAAAUGCAUGGUAAAUACAGACUAAAGUCUGUGUAACUGCUUUAUUUAUUAUAUAUUCCUUGCCUUUCAAAAGUUUGGGGUUGGGAAAAAAAAAAAAAAGUAAAUAUUUUUGGUAGAAGUCUUUUAUGCUCCCCAAGGCUGCAUUUAUUUGAUAAAAUGAUGAAUAAAAGUUUAUAAAAGUAUUAAUUUCUUUAACAAAAAAAAAAAAAAAAAUUUCUUACUGAUAACCCCUUUUUUGAGCAUAGAUGUGAAAAUGCACUAUUCGACUUAAAUGGUUGCAAUUCAUGAAUGCUUUGGAACACAGACAUAAGGUUGCGUCUUAUUGCUGAAGUGAAAGCACUUCAAAGUGUAAAAAAGUUAGAAGUACUGUAAAGCAAAUAUACUGUACAUGUUUUAUUUUACACAAAAUACAUAUUUUACUUUUUUUUUACUCUAAAAAUGCUAUAAAAUCAAAGCCAUAUCAAGUUGUGUUCCAAAUUUGGAUGUUGAUAUCACAAAAAUUGUUUGAAAAAGUUCCUAUUAGAACUUGUUUAGGCGCUAUACCAAAAAAAAAGCCACCGGGUGUCACCCACAUUCCAUUAUAUUAGUUUUAUGCAUUUUCCCGUUACAAGUUAAUCCAUUUCUGUCACAAUAUUACUUCUAUCACAAAACAAUCACAAAAUAUGGAACCUUGAGUUUUAGACAUUUCCAACGAUAUGUGUUUUGUCAAGAUUGGAAAAAUUUUUGAUUAUAAAAUGUAGUAAAUUUUGUAAUAUGAAACGUGACACCACCCACUAAAAGGAACUUUUUUUGGUUAAAAAUGAUCCAAAAUCAAUUUUUGAGCAUGUACAUAACCAGCCAGUGUUCAAAACUAUCUCCUUACCUUAGCCAAUUCACAACGGUAAGCUUGUAAUAAUGUUUUAUAAUAAAAUCAGUACUGGUGGGUUUCCGCGGGACAUUUGAGCAUGCAGCCGUUCGUCUUUGCGUCAUAGCGUCACGUGACAACUUGACAUUAACCCAACAAUCAUCAGUGACAACUGAAGAUUAACCUGUAGUCAAAAGCAAAAGACUUUGGACUGUGGAGUGGCUACAGAAAUUGAAAUCUUAAUGUUAAUACACACUAAAUACACACAGUCACACAAUGCUGAUGUUAACAUUAACAAUUUGAGAACAAAGUAUAACAAUAAUAAUAAUUGAAAAAGUUUGACGUGAUCCAAACUAAGUGAUCAUUAGAUUUAAUCACCAUAGCGCGAUUGUAAUGCUUUUUUCCCAGUUGGUCAGAACAAAAGUGGCAGACAUGUUACUUGCUUGUUCAGAUGACAUUUUCCGGUGAAAAUUGUUGUUUUGGUCAUACUUCCAAAACUACAAUUUGUGAUUCCGAAGUACAGUAUCCACACCGAUGGUGACUGACAGCAAACAUUAGAUUAAUCUGCGCUGAGGAGCUGUGCCAAUACACAACCCACGUAAAGAUGAUAAUUCCACAAAUAACUGCAAUUGCAGGUUUCAAACAGAGAUGGCGACAAAGAGGCAAAACUUACAGACUGCAGCUUUAAUUGUAUAUGUGAUGGGGAAAAAAGGCAAUAUAAAUAAGAGUUAAGGGGUUACAAUUUAAACCCUUGCACACUAUAAAUGAAAAACAACACCAUUAGACUAAAACAUUUUUAAGCCUUGGAGAGAAAUGCUAAGCUGCUAAAAAAAAAAUUGUUUUUUGUGGGGAGGUUAUAUCUUAUCUCAGAGUGUCACAUAAUAAGACAGCAUCACUUCAGAUAUUGACACAGCAUUAAUAAGGCUCCUUCUCCUCACCAUCAUUUCAACAAAUUGCCUUCUUCAGUAAAGUUUUGGAGUGAUUUUGAAUGUUCUCUUGACUGGUUCAGAUAACCUAUUUUUUAUGUGGUGUUGGAGAUGCAGCCCAGCCACAGAACACUCCUUCUUCCUCCAUCUGUGGCAUAUGUGACAAAACAAACACCAGAUUAGACCUCUACACACUAACACGCUCCUCACCACCAAUAAACACAUGUUUGAGAUUCAGCUGCGGUUUUGUUGUCGUGGCUACAUUUUGCCUACUUUUCUGUAUUGACUUUAUGAAGUGUAAUCAUAAUCUUAAGUGGGAUUUGCUUUAUUGAUGCUGCUUGCAUCCCACAUGUGUAAAAUCAAAGUCAAAACAAACCGUUCAAUGCUUUCAAGCUCACUCACAGAUGAAACUGAGUAAAGUGAGGAAGUUGUGUUGGCCACUGCUGCGUCACUGCAGAUUGCAACAGGAAGAAAUAGUGCAGCAUUUGUGUGUAACUGCUGUGCUUGAUAGUUUCAUACACCUCUCUUGCUCCUCUUCAUUCGCCCAACGUUGGCUUUGGUUCAAUGUUUUUUACUGCAAGACACUUCAGGCUUCUGUGCACCUCAUUCUUGAACCCUGCUUAUAGUCUGUUGGGGUGUGGGGCAUGUGGGGUUGACCAGAUGGCCCUCCGUGUGUAGUUUAGAGGAGAAGCCAUUGGGGUUGUGUGUGUGGAAAGGAGAGGUAAGGUGCAGACAAGCUAUGGGAUGCUGCAGUGUGACCCAAAGGCAUACGGGAACUGAUGAAGUGGGCCCAGAUGAGAUCGAACUCCUGGAAAUCAACAAUGCAGGGCUCUGGAGUCUCGCUGAAAGCAGGCACCAAAUUUCCACAAGAAAUGGCACAGAUGAAGGUCCUCAUCGUGUUCCUUCUGUGAGGCACCUGAAGAAGGAGGACCCAGAUCCUGUCUCUGUGAGGGACACAACAAAACACAACCAUUCACAACUGGUGCUUUGGGGCUGGACAAAAAAAGAGCUCCAUCACAGGCUGUACACUCAGCCAAUCAGAGAAUGGGAAGGAAAGGCACCACACACCUAUGGAGACAUUAUCCACUCAUCUUCUGUGUAUUUACACAGUGGAUACACAAAGGCUAUGAGUGAAAGAUAUCUGGUUUUAUUUUCCUUCCAUUUGUUAAUCCUUGCUUUGGACAGCUCUAAUCGUGAUUUUAUUUAUGAGGGCAUCCUUCCUCUCUCAGCCAUUGAGGUUCAUCUGAUCUCACAGCAGGACCCCAGUUCUCCACAUAUGUUUGAGAUUAGCGGACCUAUGGUGGACUCAAAGAUCUUCAUUUGUGCUAGUGCUGCUGAAACAAAAGCCUGGAUGGAGAACAUUGAGGAAAGGAGACACAAAUCCCUAAGGCAACAGCUGAGCCCGUCCCAUAGUGCUCUCUCAUACCUGGUGCCAUGUGAUGAAAACUGGAAGAAGGAGGAGCUUAAAAGAUACUUACUGCGUUCUCCAAUCUUGCAAUGGGAGGGGACACCUAUUCAGCACAUGGGCUGUCCAAAAUACCUUUCACUGGUGCACAUUAGCAACAUAUACACACAGGGACCUCAGGAGCGUUUGCUUGUGCUCUUCCCGUUUGACCUCCUCAUUCUGUCUCUUGACUGUCAUCAUGUACGUGUGAAAUAUGAG